rnacentral:misc_RNA from 1 species
GACAGAGGGCGCGAGCGUUGUUCGGAAUCACUGGGCGUAAAGCGCGCGCAGGCGGACUCAGUAAGUCUGGAGUGAAAGUCCGGGGCUCAACCCCGGAACCGCUUUGGAUACUGCGAGUCUUGGGACCGGUAGAGGCCGGUGGAAUUCCCGGUGUAGCGGUGGAAUGCGUAGAUAUCGGGAAGAACACCUGAGGCGAAGGCGGCCGGCUGGGCCGGAUCCGACGCUGAGGCGCGAAAGCGUGGGGAGCAAACAGG